rnacentral:rRNA from 1 species
GAUGAACGCUGGCGGCGUGCCUAAUACAUGCAAGUCGAACGGACGGGCGAGGAGCUUGCUUGUCUGAUGAUAGCGGCGGACGGGUGAGAAACGCGUGGAUAACCUACCUAUAAGACUGGGAUCACUUCGGGAAAGGGGCGCUAAUACCGGAUAAUAUUUUGAACCGCAUGGUGGAAAGGAGAAAGACGGUGGUGGUGUCAGUUAUAGAUGGAUCCGCGCUGCAUGAGGUAGUUGGUAAGGUCACGGCUUACCAAGGCAACGAUGCAUAGGCGACCUGAGAGGGUGAUCGGCCACACGGGAACUGAGACACGGUCCAGACUCCUACGGGAGGCAGCAGUAGGGAAUCUUCCGCAAUGGGCGAAAGCCUGACGGAGCAACGCCGCGUGAGUGAUGAAGGUCUUCGGAUCGUAAAACUCUGCUAUUAGGGAAGAACAUAUGUGUAAGUAACUGUGCACAUCUUGACGGUACCUAAUCAGAAAGCCACGGCUAACUACGUG